AGAGUUUGAUCAUGGCUCAGAUUGAACGCUGGCGGCAGGCUUAACACAUGCAAGUCGAGCGGUAACAGAGAGUAGCUUGCUACUUUGCUGACGAGCGGCGGACGGGUGAGUAAUGCUUGGGAAUAUGCCUUAUGGUGGGGGACAACAGUUGGAAACGACUGCUAAUACCGCAUAACGUCUACGGACCAAAGGGGGGGAUCUUCGGACCUCUCGCCAUUUGAUUAGCCCAAGUGAGAUUAGCUAGUUGGUGAGGUAAAGGCUCACCAAGGCGACGAUCUCUAGCUGGUUUGAGAGGAUGAUCAGCCACACUGGGACUGAGACACGGCCCAGACUCCUACGGGAGGCAGCAGUGGGGAAUAUUGCACAAUGGACGAAAGUCUGAUGCAGCCAUGCCGCGUGUAUGAAGAAGGCCUUCGGGUUGUAAAGUACUUUCAGCGAGGAGGAAAGGUUAAGUGUUAAUAGCACUUAGCUGUGACGUUACUCGCAGAAGAAGGACCGGCUAACUCCGUGCCAGCAGCCGCGGUAAUACGGAGGGUCCGAGCGUUAAUCGGAAUUACUGGGCGUAAAGCGUACGCAGGCGGUUUGUUAAGCGAGAUGUGAAAGCCCCGGGCUCAACCUGGGAACUGCAUUUCGAACUGACAAACUAGAGUUUUGUAGAGGGUGGUAGAAUUUCAGGUGUAGCGGUGAAAUGCGUAGAGAUCUGAAGGAAUAUCAGUGGCGAAGGCGGCCACCUGGACAAUAACUGACGCUCAUGUACGAAAGCGUGGGGAGCAAACAGGAUUAGAUACCCUGGUAGUCCACGCCGUAAACGAUGUCUACAGACAACUGAAUCCUUGAGAUUUGGGUGGCGCAGCUAACGCAUUAAGUUGACCGCCUGGGGAGUACGGCCGCAAGGUUAAAACUCAAAUGAAUUGACGGGGGCCCGCACAAGCGGUGGAGCAUGUGGUUUAAUUCGAUGCAACGCGAAGAACCUUACCUACUCUUGACAUCCACAGAACUUAGCAGAGAUGCUUAGGUGCCUUCGGGAACUGUGAGACAGGUGCUGCAUGGCUGUCGUCAGCUCGUGUUGUGAAAUGUUGGGUUAAGUCCCGCAACGAGCGCAGCCCCUAUCCUUAGUUACCAGCGGUUCGGCCGGGAACUCUAGGGAGACUGCCGGUGACAAACCGGAGGAAGGUGGGGACGACGUCAAGUCAUCAUGGCCCUUAUGGCUAGGGCUACACACGUGCUACAAUGGGGCGUACAGAGUGUUGCAAUACCGCGAGGUGGAGCUAAUCACUUAAAGCGUCUCUCAGUUCGGAUUGGAGUCUGCAACUCGACUCCAUGAAGCUGGAAUCACUAGUAAUCGUAGAUCAGCAAUGCUACGGUGAAUACGUUCCCGGGUCUUGUACUCACCGCCCGUCACACCAUGGGAGUUGAUUUCACCCGAAAUUGGGAAGCUAACCUUCGGGGGGCUACCACUUACGGUGGAAUUAGCGACUGGGGUGAAGUCGUAACAAGGUAACCGU
rnacentral:rRNA from 1 species